CAAUGUUAAGGUCACAUGGAUUCGUCUGCAAGCGAGACAAGUAGAAAAUGAAUUUUAAUGAAUGUUUUGAUGAUUUGGGUGCUAAAAUAGAUGAGAGAUGUCAAUAUUUUGGUCCAAAUGGAUGUUUUAGGUGGUUUUGGACUGUUCCGGAUGGGUGGGGGACCUGGUAUGGACAAGUAAGGGUAACAUUUCCAACAAAUCUUAAAUGUAAAUAUUAUUAUGUCCAUAGAUUGAAGUUUCAGGUGGAGAGCAAGAUGAAAAAUAUGCCAAAUUACAUGCAUGCAACCCAUUUAUGCCAUUUUUCUCUUUGUUUGUAGGCCUGACCGUUUGUCCUUGAGCCGUAGAUGGUCAACAAUCCGCUAGCUGUCUUGCUCUGACUGGUGCACUGGACAUGAUUUCAAUAGUCAGCCAGACCAUGAUUGAGCUUAAGGAUUGUGCUGCGGAUGCAGCCUGUGCAGUUCCGGGAGAAAGUCACUGUCUUGGGCAAUGCGGUCUGGUAUCAGGUCUGGAUGAUCCUUGCCUGACUGCGGGUUUGUGUACACCUCAAUCCGACUCUGUGUCCUGAACAGAGGCCGCAGUGGUGCAGCGCUUGUGGACGAUCCAUCAACAUCCUGAAAGGUCAACACUACACCAAGCUGGGAAAAUUGAUCCUGAUAGUCAUCCCCAGGCCUGACCGUUUGUCCUUGAGCCGUAGAUGGUCAACAAUCCGCUAGCUGUCUUGCUCUGACUGGUGCACUGGACAUGAUUUCAAUAGUCAGCCAGACCAUGAUUGAGCUUAAGGAUUGUGCUGCGGAUGCAGCCUGUGCAGUUCCGGGAGAAAGUCACUGUCUUGGGCAAUGCGGUCUGGUAUCAGGUCUGGAUGAUCCUUGCCUGACUGCGGGUUUGUGUACACCUCAAUCCGACUCUGUGUCCUGAACAGAGGCCGCAGUGGUGCAGCGCUUGUGGACGAUCCAUCAACAUCCUGAAAGGUCAACACUACACCAAGCUGGGAAAAUUGAUCCUGAUAGUCAUCCCCAGGCCUGACCGUUUGUCCUUGAGCCGUAGAUGGUCAACAAUCCGCUAGCUGUCUUGCUCUGACUGGUGCACUGGACAUGAUUUCAAUAGUCAGCCAGACCAUGAUUGAGCUUAAGGAUUGUGCUGCGGAUGCAGCCUGUGCAGUUCCGGGAGAAAGUCACUGUCUUGGGCAAUGCGGUCUGGUAUCAGGUCUGGAUGAUCCUUGCCUGACUGCGGGUUUGUGUACACCUCAAUCCGACUCUGUGUCCUGAACAGAGGCCGCAGUGGUGCAGCGCUUGUGGACGAUCCAUCAACAUCCUGAAAGGUCAACACUACACCAAGCUGGGAAAAUUGAUCCUGAUAGUCAUCCCCAGGCCUGACCGUUUGUCCUUGAGCCGUAGAUGGUCAACAAUCCGCUAGCUGUCUUGCUCUGACUGGUGCACUGGACAUGAUUUCAAUAGUCAGCCAGACCAUGAUUGAGCUUAAGGAUUGUGCUGCGGAUGCAGCCUGUGCAGUUCCGGGAGAAAGUCACUGUCUUGGGCAAUGCGGUCUGGUAUCAGGUCUGGAUGAUCCUUGCCUGACUGCGGGUUUGUGUACACCUCAAUCCGACUCUGUGUCCUGAACAGAGGCCGCAGUGGUGCAGCGCUUGUGGACGAUCCAUCAACAUCCUGAAAGGUCAACACUACACCAAGCUGGGAAAAUUGAUCCUGAUAGUCAUCCCCAGGUAGUGGAAUGAAUGUACACUGAACUACAGAGGAAUCACACCCAAAUGACUUUCCUGCCACGACAUUAGUGUGGCCACUCGCGUAGGAAUUCCUUAGCCAACGUGCUCUUUUGCAUGGUGACUGUGGGCAUUUUUGCAAAACUUACGCUUUCAACACUGGAUUUUAAAGGGAAUACUUAUAAAAUGUCGCUAACAGGACUUAUUUAUAUGAGAGAGACUAUCUGGAUGCGCAUUAAGUGUCACUUUGUGUCGUAAGCUGUUGAAGGAGCGAUUUGCGCCUUUUUAAGUGUUAAUUUUGGGUAGCCGGCUUGUAUCGGCUUGAAAGCUGCAAAUUAUGCCUCUCAUCAUAAUAGCAUUAAUUUUUGUAAAUGCAAUGUGUAUGUUUAGAUUGUAAGUGAAGCUUUUAAUAAUAAUUUUCUUAAAAAACAUUAUUUUAUAUGCUGUCAGUGAGUUUUUUAUUGAAAAAAGUGCUUAAAAUUUAAAAAAAGUCUCCUAUUUCAUCAAGAAAAGUACACUGAUUCACAAUCAAUACAUUUAUUUGGGCCUUUUGCUGAUAUAUUGGUGAAUUUCGCAUGCAAUGAUACCAGUUUUUGCCAUAAAAGUUACGCAUAACAAUAAUUGGAGACACAAAAUCAGCUGUCGUCACUUAGACUAAAAAUCAUGCAUUCCGACUUGACUGCGGCCAAUUUAGUCACCGCUUUAAAUGGCCAUUUUAAGGCCUUUACCCCCAUCCGAAUGCACUGAAAUUGCAUAUUCAUUGUGGAAAUAGUUGAAAUCUCAUGUGGAGAAAGUUUGAAAAAGAUAGGACAAUGUUGAGUUCCCUUAAAGGUUACAUUACACUAAAUCAUUGUGUAUCCCUCCGUGGUCCAUUCGAAAGUAGUGCCUAUUUCUAAAGAGUUCCUUUUCUCUUCUUGAAUAUAAGCCAUUUAACAAUGUGAGACAUGUCUUUUGUGGUUAUUUGUAAUAUCCUGUAUGUGUCUGGAGUACUCUGAUGCCUUGGAUUGGAAGCUAACUUAAAAGAUGAACUUUUGAAGGUGUGUUUUCUAUGGUGUGGGGCUUUUGUCGAAAUUAGGAUUCCGAAACGCGUUU